AGAGUUUGAUCCUGGCUCAGAAUGAACGCUGGCGGCGUGCCUAACACAUGCAAGUCGAACGAGAAAUCUGGUCUUCGGACUAGAGAGUAAAGUGGCGCACGGGUGAGUAACGCGUGGAUAACCUGCCCUUUAAUCUGGAAUAACUUCGCGAAAGCGUUGCUAAUACCGGAUAUUGUCUUAUUAACAGUGGUUUUUAAGAUGAAAGGUGACCUAUUCUUGAAAGUUGUCGUUAGAGGAGGGGUCCGCGUACCAUUAGCUAGUUGGUGGGGUAAUGGCCUACCAAGGUUACGAUGGUUAGCUGGUCUGAGAGGAUGAUCAGCCACACUGGAACUGAAACACGGUCCAGACUCCUACGGGAGGCAGCAGUGAGGAAUUUUGCGCAAUGGGGGAAACCCUGACGCAGCAACGCCGCGUGAGUGAAGAAGGUUUUCGGAUCGUAAAGCUCUGUCGAGUGGGAAAAAUGUUUUAUCAUUAAUAGUGAUAGAAUUUGAUGGUACCACUAGAGGAAGCACCGGCUAGCUCCGUGCCAGCAGCCGCGGUAAUACGGAGGGUGCAAGCGUUGUUGAAUUACUGGGCGUAAAGAGCGUGUAGGCGGGAUGGUAAGUCAGAUGUGAAAGCCCUGGGCUUAACUCAGGAAGUGCAUUUGAUACUGUCAUUCUUGAGUAUGGGAGAGGAGAGUGGAAUUCCUAGUGUAGAGGUGAAAUUCGUAGAUAUUAGGAGGAACAUCCGUGGCGAAGGCGACUCUCUGGACCAAUACUGACGCUGAGACGCGAAAGCGUGGGGAGCAAACAGGAUUAGAUACCCUGGUAGUCCACGCCGUAAACGAUGAGAACUAGGUGUAGCGGGUAUUGACCCCUGCUGUGCCGGAGUUAACGCAUUAAGUUCUCCGCCUGGGGAGUACGGCCGCAAGGCUAAAACUCAAAGGAAUUGACGGGGACCCGCACAAGCGGUGGAGCAUGUGGUUUAAUUCGACGCAACGCGAAGAACCUUACCUGGAUUUGACAUCCUCUGACCGCCCUGGAAACAGGGUUUUUCCAACUUGUUGGAACAGAGUGACAGGUGCUGCAUGGCUGUCGUCAGCUCGUGUCGUGAGAUGUUGGGUUAAGUCCCGCAACGAGCGCAACCCUUGUUUUUAGUUGCCAUUAUUAAGUUGGGCACUCUAGAGAUACUGCCUCGGUUAACGGGGAGGAAGGUGGGGAUGACGUCAAGUCCUCAUGGCCUUUAUAUCC
rnacentral:rRNA from 1 species